rnacentral:rRNA from 1 species
AGUGGACGCUGGCGGUAGGCCUAACACAUGCCGGUCGAACGGCAGCACAGUAAGAGCUUGCUCUUACGGGUGGCGAGUGGCGGACGGGUGAGGAAUACAUCGGAAUCUACUUUUUCGUGGGGGAUAACGUAGGGAAACUUACGCUAAUACCGCAUACGACCUACGGGUGAAAGCAGGGGAUCUUCGGACCUUGCGCGAUUGAAUGAGCCGAUGUCGGAUUAGCUAGUUGGCGGGGUAAAGGCCCACCAAGGCGACGAUCCGUAGCUGGUCUGAGAGGGUGAUCAGCCACACUGGAACUGAGACACGGUCCAGACUCCUACGGGAGGCAGCAGUGGGGAAUAUUGGACAAUGGGCGCAAGCCUGAUCCAGCCAUACCGCGUGGGUGAAGAAGGCCUUCGGGUUGUAAAGCCCUUUUGUUGGGAAAGAAAAGCAGCAGGUUAAUACCCCGCUGUUCUGACGGUACCCAAAGAAUAAGCACCGGCUAACUUCGUG